UACGUAGGGUGCGAGCGUUAAUCGGAAUUACUGGGCGUAAAGCGUGCGCAGGCGGUUUUGUAAGACAGAUGUGAAAUGCCCGGGCUUAACCUGGGAACUGCAUCUGUGACUGCAUCGCUGGAGUGCGGCAGAGGGGGAUGGAAUUCCGCGUGUAGCAGUGAAAUGCGUAGAUAUGCGGAGGAACACCGAUGGCGAAGGCAAUCCCCUGGGCCUGCACUGACGCUCAUGCACGAAAGCGUGGGGAGCGAACAGG
rnacentral:rRNA from 1 species